UCCAGACUCCUACGGGAGGCAGCAGUGAGGAAUAUUGGUCAAUGGCCGAGAGGCUGAACCAGCCAAGUCGCGUGAGGGAUGACGGCCCUACGGGUUGUAAACCUCUUUUGUCGGGGAGCAAAAGACGCCACGUGUGGCGUUCCGAGAGUACCCGAAGAAAAAGCAUCGGCUAACUCCGUGCCAGCAGCCGCGGUAAUACGUAGGGAGCGAGCGUUGUCCGGAUUUACUGGGUGUAAAGGGUGCGUAGGCGGCUUGGCAAGUCAGUAGUGAAAUCCAUGGGCUUAACCCAUGAACUGCUAUUGAAACUGUCGAGCUUGAGUGAAGUAGAGGUAGGCGGAAUUCCCGGUGUAGCGGUGAAAUGCGUAGAGAUCGGGAGGAACACCAGUGGCGAAGGCGGCCUACUGGGCUUUAACUGACGCUGAGGCACGAAAGCGUGGGUAGCAAACAGGAUUAGAUACCCCAGUAG
rnacentral:rRNA from 1 species